UGCCAUAAUGGUGUAAUUUGCGUCUGAGUCGGUUAUCAGUGACAGUGGACUGCUGUCUUAAAGCUGUCACAUGGUAUUGAUGUGUCUUCGAGUCUGAGCA
ensembl:snoRNA SNORD16 Small nucleolar RNA SNORD16